rnacentral:lncRNA from 1 species
UUCAGCCUCCUCGGCCUUCCUUCUCGGCCUUGUCAAUCUUCUCAAAUUUUCUCUCCGAUCUUCUUGGAUUUUCUCCUCGACCUUUCGUCUUAGCCUUAUUCAUCUUCCCAAAUUUUCUCCUCGAUCUAUUUGGAUUUUCUUCUCAGCCUUCUUUCUCGACUUUGUCACCCUUCUCGAAUUUUCUCUUCGACUUUUCUUCUCGAUCUUAUCAGCCUUCUUAGAUUUUCUCCUUCCCCUUUCUUCUCGGCCUUGUCGAAUUUUCUCCUCGACCUUCUCAGAUUUCUUCCUCGGCCUUCUUUCUCGAUUUUAUCGAUCUUCUCGGAUUUCCUCUUCGACUUUCCUUUUUAGUCUUAUAAAUCUUUUUAGAUUUCCUCCUCGGCCUUUUCGAAUUUUCUCUUCGACCUUUCUUCUCAACCUUGUAACCUCUUGGAAUUUUCUUCUCAUCCUUCCUUAGCGCCACUACGAGAAAUUAACAUAUUAGCGACAGCAUUUUCGCCGUCUCUAUUAAUCGAUAUUAGCAACGGUAUUACCAAUGAAAAAUUAUCUGUCGCUAAUGACAGUUUUAUCGACGGCUAUUAGUGACAGUAAAAAAGCCAUCACUAAUAAAUAUUUUUACCGACAACCAAUUACGAUCAAAAAAUAAGCCAUCAUAAAAAUAUUUAUUAAACUU